GGUCUUGUAUUCAAAUUUAAUGAUAUUGGAAUGCAAUUCUAGUGGUGUAAUAUUUACUAAGGCCU
rnacentral:tRNA from 1 species